rnacentral:rRNA from 1 species
CAGCAGCCGCGGUAAUACGUAGGGCGCAAGCGUUGUCCGGAAUUAUUGGGCGUAAAGAGCUCGUAGGCGGUCUGUCGCGUCUGGUGUGAAAUCCCGAGGCUCAACCUCGGGCUUGCAUCGGGUACGGGCAGACUAGAGUGCGGUAGGGGAGACUGGAAUUCCUGGUGUAGCGGUGGAAUGCGCAGAUAUCAGGAGGAACACCGAUGGCGAAGGCAGGUCUCUGGGCCGCAACUGACGCUGAGGAGCGAAAGCAUGGGGAGCGAACAGGAUUAGAGACCCCAGUAGUCCCUGUCUCUUAUAA